CUCUGUGACUCCUACGGGAGGCAGCAGUGGGGAAUAUUGCACAAUGGGCGCAAGCCUGAUGCAGCAACGCCGCGUGAGCGAUGAAGGCCUUCGGGUCGUAAAGCUCUGUCCUCAAGGAAGAAUAAAUGACGGUACUUGAGGAGGAAGCCCCGGCUAACUACGUGCCAGCAGCCGCGGUAAUACGUAGGGGGCAAGCGUUAUCCGGAAUCACUGGGCGUAAAGGGUGCGUAGGCGGUUUUUCAAGUCAGAAGUGAAAGGCUAUGGCUCAACCAUAGUAAGCUUUUGAAACUGUUAAACUUGAGUGCAGGAGAGGAAAGUGGAAUUCCUAGUGUAGAGGUGAAAUUCGUAGAUAUUAGGAGGAACACCAGUGGCGAAGGCGACUUUCUGGACUGUAACUGACGCUGAGGCACGAAAGCGUGGGGAGCGAACAGGAUUAGAUACCCUGGUAA
rnacentral:rRNA from 1 species